rnacentral:rRNA from 1 species
GCAAUACUGAGUGGCAAACGGGUGAGUAUAAUGUGGGAAUCUGCCUUUUGGUUCGGAAUAACACGAGGAAACUUGUGCUAAUACCGGAUAAGCCCUUACGGGGAAAGUUUUAAUGCCAAAAGAUGAGCCCGCACUUGAUUAGCUAGUUGGUGAGGUAAAAGCUCACCAAGGCGAUAAUCAAUAGCUGAUUUGAGAGGAUGAUCAGCCACAUUGGGACUGAGACACGGCCCAAACUCC